rnacentral:rRNA from 1 species
GAUGAACGCUGGCGGCGUGCCUAAUACAUGCAAGUCGAGCGAACAGAUGAGGAGCUUGCUCCUCUGACGUUAGCGGCGGACGGGUGAGUAACACGUGGAUAACCUACCUAUAAGACUGGGAUAACUUCGGGAAACCGGAGCUAAUACCGGAUAAUAUAUUGAACCGCAUGGUUCAAUAGUGAAAGACGGUUUUGCUGUCACUUAUAGAUGGAUCCGCGCCGCAUUAGCUAGUUGGUAAGGUAACGGCUUACCAAGGCGACGAUGCGUAGCCGACCUGAGAGGGUGAUCGGCCACACUGGAACUGAGACACGGUCCAGACUCCUACGGGAGGCAGCAGUAGGGAAUCUUCCGCAAUGGGCGAAAGCUUGACGGAGCAACGCCGCGUGAGUGAUGAAGGUCUUCGGAUCGUAAAACUCUGUUAUUAGGGAAGAACAAAUGUGUAAGUAACUAUGCACGUCUUGAUGGUACCUAAUCAGAAAGCCACGGCUAACUACGUG